rnacentral:rRNA from 1 species
CCAAUAGCGUAUAUUAAAGUUGUUGCAGUUAAAAAGCUCGUAAUUGAAUUUCGGGGUUAGUAGGUUGGUCGUGCCACCGGUAUGUACUGGCUUUACUGAUCCCUCCUUCUUGUAGAACCGUAAUGCCAUUAACUUGGUGUUGCGGGGAAACAGGACUGUUACUUUGAAAAAAUUAGAGUGUUUAAAGCAGGCUAACGCUUGAAUACAUUAGCAUGGAAUAAUGAAAUAGGACGAUCGAUCCUAUUUUGUUGGUUUCUAGGGUUGACGUAAUGAUUAAUAGGGAUAGUUGGGGGCAUUAGUAUUCAAUUGUCAGAGGUGAAAUUCUUGGAUUUAUUGAAGACUAACUACUGCGAAAGCAUUUGCCAAGGAUGUUUUCAUUAAUCAAGAACGAAAGUUAGGGGAUCGAAGACGAUCAGAUACCGUCGUAGUCUUAACCAUAAACUAUGCCGACUAGGGAUCGGAUGAUGUUAAUUUUUUAAUGACUCAUUCGGCGCCUUACG